rnacentral:tRNA from 1 species
GGAGGCGUGCCCGAGCGGCUGAAGGGGACGGUUUUGAAAACCGUUGUGCGGGGAACCGUACCGGGGGUUCGAAUCCCUCCGCCUCCG